CGGGUUCCUUCGAGCCCCGAUUGGGCAG
rnacentral:sRNA from 1 species